rnacentral:rRNA from 1 species
CCUCGGGCGGCUGCAGUGGGGAAUAUUGCACAAUGGGCGCAAGCCUGAUGCAGCCAUGCCGCGUGUGUGAAGCGGGCCUUCGGGUUGUAAAGCACUUUCAGCGGGGAGGAGGGCGGUGAGGUUAAUAACCUCAUCGAUUGACGUUACCCGCAGAAGAAGCACCGGCUAACUCCGUGCCAGCAGCCGCGGUAAUACGGAGGGUGCAAGCGUUAAUCGGAAUUACUGGGCGUAAAGCGCACGCAGGCGGUCUGUCAAGUCGGAUGUGAAAUCCCCGGGCUCAACCUGGGAACUGCAUUCGAAACUGGCAGGCUAGAGUCUUGUAGAGGGGGGUAGAAUUCCAGGUGUAGCGGUGAAAUGCGUAGAGAUCUGGAGGAAUACCGGUGGCGAAGGCGGCCCCCUGGACAAAGACUGACGCUCAGGUGCGAAAGCGUGGGGAGCAAACAGGAUUAGAUACCCGAGUAGUC